rnacentral:rRNA from 1 species
GGUUAAGCGACUAAGCGUACACGGUGGAUGCCCUGGCAGUCAGAGGCGAUGAAGGACGUGCUAAUCUGCGAUAAGCGUCGGUAAGGUGAUAUGAACCGUUAUAACCGGCGAUUUCCGAAUGGGGAAACCCAGUGUGAUUCGUCACACUAUCAUUAACUGAAUCCAUAGGUUAAUGAGGCGAACCGGGGGAACUGAAACAUCUAAGUACCCCGAGGAAAAGAAAUCAACCGAGAUUCCCCCAGUAGCGGCGAGCGAACGGGGAGCAGCCCAGAGCCUGAAUCAGUGUGUGUGUUAGUGGAAGCGUCUGGAAAGGCGUGCGAUACAGGGUGACAGCCCCGUACACAAAAAUGCACAUACUGUGAGCUCGAUGAGUAGGGCGGGACACGUGGUAUCCUGUCUGAAUAUGGGGGGACCAUCCUCCAAGGCUAAAUACUCCUGACUGACCGAUAGUGAACCAGUACCGUGAGGGAAAGGCGAAAAGAACCCCGGCGAGGGGAGUGAAAAAGAACCUGAAACCGUGUACGUACAAGCAGUGGGAGCACGCUUAGGCGUGUGACUGCGUACCUUUUGUAUAAUGGGUCAGCGACUUAUAUUCUGUAGCAAGGUUAACCGAAUAGGGGAGCCGAAGGGAAACCGAGUCUU